rnacentral:lncRNA from 1 species
AGCAGCCGCGCCAGCCUCAUGCCGAGUCCCGCUAGAGAAGCCACAGCCAGUACGCCAGGUUUCCCCGCGCCUCUGCCGAGUGGGUUGAAGGCAAAUACUUGAAGUUGCAAUCGAAGGUCAAGAAAAUGGAAUCAAGAGGUCACAAUCCUUCUCUGAUGAUGGCUUAGAAAGCUGGAAGACACUCAACAUUGAAUCCUGGGGCUCUGUGCCAUGCUUGCUAGGAGAAACAGCCACCAUGAGUCCAUCUUUCAGAUCUCAAGUGAACAGUCAUUCUCCAGCUGGGAUUGAGAACAAGGGGAAGCUGGCCAUAGAGCCAGGUGACCAAAGAUGGAAGACAAAGGGUGGGCUGUGAUUCCCAGAGCUCCAAGCCUUGUUCUGUCUUGUCACACCAACUGUUACUGAUGAACAGGACAGAGAGUCACUGUGAUUGCCUACUUUGAAAUGGUUCAGAGCCAGUCACUGCCUUUCCUACAGGCAUAUACCAAAUCUACAUUCACCACAAAAACUGGGCUUGUGAAAGAAAAGAUUUUCUUGGAAUUCCUAUGCCCCUGGCCUUGACUCUGGAGCCAGGGGUCAGGUGACUCACAGCUGAAGAAGUGUGGCUGCUAUUAAAACAUGCCAGAGGAGAGCUUACGACGGCCACUAUUGUUAAGAGUAUCAUUAACGGUGUCAAAAUUCUUGUCAAAAAUCCUGUGUUGCCCCAUAAAUAUAUACACCUACUAUGUAUCCACAAAAAUUUAAAAAAAUCUUACUUUGAAUUACAAAAAAAGGAAGCAGAACAGUAUCUAAUAAAUGACAAAGUGCUUUUCAUGUCUUCUCAGUUGAUCUCCAGCACAACUGUAUGCACUAAUGACUACUAGGCAUUGUUCUGAACGGACAGGAAAGCAAACUCAUAUGUUAAGGGACUUGCCCUGUGGGUCAGUCAGUAUCAAAGCUGAAACCAGGAGCAGAGACCAGGUCUCUGACCUCUCAGGGCCGGCUUGCAAAUUCCCUAGGGGCCUGCUCUUGGGAACACAGGGCGGGUGUUCCGGGAGGGAGGGGCGUGGGGAAGAGAAGGCAGCCUGGCAGUGACUCUGUGCUGUGCUCUGGCUCCUGCCGUUGCCCUUUCACAAC